rnacentral:antisense_RNA from 1 species
GUAGAUUGAAAAGAUUACUAAACCAGUUGUUCCUAGUACUAUUUUAUAAACUUGAAUAAACUCAUCACUAAUUAAAUUUAGGUUUAAAUUUAAGAAUAAAAUAUAAGCUAUCGUAUAAAAACCAAUGAUCGUUACGAUCGCAAUAAUUAAAGCUUUAGAGAACUUAUUAAAUUGUACGUUGUUAGCAAUAUUAGGUGUUGUUUCCACCCCACCAAAAGCAAACAUAAACGUGAUGAUCGUUGAGAAAAUUAAAUAAGCAUUAACAUCUUUAACAUUCUUAAAGUUCUCAACAAGAUUAGAAGCAUUUCUAGCUACUAAGAUAACCAAACCAAUGAUCCCGAUCCCUAGAGAGAUUCAUUUAAUAAUUGCUGUGGCAAAGAUAAAUCAUUUUGAUACUCUUACUCGUAAAACAACAAGUAAAACUAAACUGAUAUAAAAAGCAAUUGAAACGCCGCGAACGAUCCAAAGUGUUGUUUCAUUAGCAGUUAGUACUUCUGCAAUUCUAACUAAGAAUAAAGGUCCAGUCGCUGCAAACAAUGGCACUUGAACAUAUUGGUUAAAACCUGUAAAACAGGUUAAAAACUUGUAAUUAGUUUUUUUAGCAUAAGAGAUUGAUCCACCUGUUUCAUUUGGAAAUGCGCUGAUCAAUCUUGAAAAAGCAAACGCAGUUGCUGUCGCAAUAAAUGAAGUUAAAAAUAAGAUCAGAAUCGCUCAGUAGCCAAUAUUAACAAUAUCAACGAUUGUGGCAAUAAAACCAAAGCCAACAACGUAAUUAAUUGUUAGUAAGGCAAACGUCCGAUCAUUAAAUGUUUUUUUAGUCAUAAUAGCAUUGUAUUAAAAAACGAAAAAAGCGGGAAAAUCUACACGCACUAUUUUUAACAAGU